rnacentral:misc_RNA from 1 species
GAUGAAGAACGCAGCGAAAUGCGAUAAGUAAUGUGAAUUGCAGAAUUCAGUGAAUCAUCGUAUCUUUGAACGCACAUUGCGCCCGCCAGUAUUCUGGCGGGCAUGCCUGUCCGAGCGUCAUUUCAACCCUCGAACCCCUCCGGGGGGUCGGCGUUGGGGAUCGGCCCUGCCUCUUGGCGGUGGCCGUCUCCGAAAUACAGUGGCGGUCUCGCCGCAGCCUCUCCUGCGCAGUAGUUUGCACACUCGCAUCGGGAGCGCGGCGCGUCCACAGCCGUUAAACACCCAACUUCUGAAAUGUUGACCUCGGAUCAGGUAGGAAUACCCGCUGAACUUAAGCAUAUCAUAAGCGGAGGA